CCAUAUGCAUAUUUAAAUCCACAGAAAGUCUUUGAUGGAUAAUAAAGUUUAACAUUGCUGGACACGGUAAGAAAACUGUGGCUCCACAGCUAAACUAGCUUCCUUGCAACUUUUGCAGCUCUACUGCUAAACCAAAUGUGCCUCUCUUAAGACAAUGAGAUGCAGCUUCAGAAAUUCUAUGAUCAUUGUGUAGUAUACCCACAAAGGUAUACUACACAAUGCAGGCAGGUGUUGUGCCGAAAACAAUCACAAUAUCAUUUUAUUUUGCUUGCGAUAAUGUUUUCAACUGUUAGAUAAACUUCUUGUGGGCUCCUCUGAUUGGCUGCCAUAGGUGCCGCGCAUCCAUCGCACUCAUGUGAGCUCCACCUCUGUUGCACAGCCUUUAGUUUUUGCAAGAAAUGUUGUUUUAUUAUAAACAAUUGAAAAUGGAAAACUUUUUGUAAGCGGAGCCGGCCAUGAAGAGCAAAUAUCUCUUACCGAGUGAGUGUCUCUUACCCCUUGAUAAAUUGCGCUGUGGUAAGAAAUGUGGACUCCCACACAGGGUCUUCAAGCCUCUCCGCAGUCAAUGUAAAUUAUGCAUUACGAUUUUUUCAGGAUAGACUAAAACAAAAUUAUUUACAAUUAUAUUCUGACAAUUUCUGGUGGAUUACUGAAGUACACAUCCGUGUAUGCUUUUUGGGGUUGCCUAAUAUACAGUAUAUCACAACCCUUUGUGCACUAAAAGGUGGGGUUUCCACAAUUCUCUUGUCUUUUUACUUGAUGAAAAGGUCAGUUUUCAUCACCUAUAUUGAUGUUUUUUGUAUCAAUGUCAUUCACUAAUGAAAGAAAAACAAACGUUGUUGUGCCAUGAAAUAGCACAAAUCAAAUUCUGCAUUAGGAUUUGUUCAGGAUAGACAAAGGCCUUGCUGGAUACAACCUUCAGUAGCUACAUUUUAGUAAUCCUUAUAGUAAUCCCUUCCACGCGGGCCAGACGAAUGUAGGUGUAGAAGAUAAUUUGACCUAAAGUAAUGCUUAUCUGUCACUUGUAAACAAAAAGUUGUCCUGCAACCCCUCUUCUGAACAUUGGUUCAAAUCCUACCUCAAUCCACAUUUCAAGUGAUCUCAUUUUGAGAAUAAUCUAUAUAGGAUGAAGUCAUGAAUCCUUUUCUUCAUUAUAACAACACCGUUAUAAUUAAGUAACAUACCUUUGGUACUUUCACUAUCUUCCUAAAAGAAUGCUUUGUGAUUUUGUUGUGUGUUUAUACACUGAUCAGCCAUAACAUUAUGACCACUGACAGGUGAAGUGAAUAACACUGAUAAUCUUGUUAUCAUGGCACCUGUCAUUGGGUGGGAUAUUUUAGGCAGCAAGUGAACAUUCUGUCCUCAACGUUGAUGAGUUAGAAGCAGGAAAAAUGGGCUAGAAGACUGGGUCAGAAUAUCUACAACACACACAAUCCUUUGUGUGUGUGUGUGUGUGUGUGUGUGUGUGUGUGUGUGUGUGUGGUAACUAGUACCAGUCUGGAACCUGGCCAUAGCCCCAUCCAGAUCCUCUGUUGUGGUGAGCAGUUCCAGUGGCUGACAUCCAGGUCAUAGGUCAUGUAGGGAGUCAGGUUGCUGCCUUAGCAGAGGUCAAGGUUUGCGUAAGGGCAGGAGGCAGGUGAGAGGUCGUCGGCUGUGUAGUGGGAAGUGGUGGAGAGACAGUGGAGUCUUUAUUUUCAGCUGUUAAAUAGAAUACAUGGUCAUAAAUAUUCAAGGCUGAAUACAAAAACACGACAAGACAAUUGACAUGCCAAGUAGCUAAACAUCACUAUGGCUAAUUAAGAAAAUACUUGAACAUAUUGGUUUUAAAACAAGUCACCCGAUAUCUGCGUAUUGAGGGAAGAAUAUAAAAUUCACCAAGUAAGAGGUGCUGGGAGUCUGUCAGAAAAGCCUGUGCCAUGCUGCAGAAGCCUGUCUGAUACAGGUUGAUUAGGCUCAUAAAAGUUGAACCAAGAACCUUCCUGCUCUGUUUCACAAUGUUGUUCAGUCUAAGACUGCUGCGUUGAAAGAGGUAUAGGUUUUGAAGAAGGCAUAAGUUUUGGUACUGUUCCAAAACACAAACGACAUUCAUAGAAGGUUGUUUGACUAGGGGAGAAUGGUCAUAGUUUGUGUUUGCCUAGGUGUUGCGAUCUGGUUACGGUUCGACGAAAAACAGUACGGACGUAGAGGACCCAAACAACCAUUAACUGAAAGUAGUUUAUUUUUAAGCAUUAUUUGAAAAAAUAAUAAUAAAAUAAACUUUGUUUAACUGAACUGUUACUGAGUAUAACUAUUAGCAAGUGGAGGAUCUUGAUGGAGGAUCUUAUGGAGGAACUUGAUGGAGGAUCUUAUGGAACAGGGUGCAAUCACAGAAUAGCAGCAGUUCCUAAAGACAACCACAGUAACAGAUCUGCCAGCAUUUAAUGAUUAAAAUAACAGUAAAACAGCGAAGUUGGCUAGUUAAUAAUGGAGGAGUUUUAUGUCACAGAAAAGGGCGCACGUCAAAGGAAUAAAAUCAUUACUGUAUUUAGAUUCUGAGAAACAACAUUCAAACUGAAAUGUUCACAGUAACGUGACAAAUUUUUCCUCGACCAAAUUUUUUAAAUAUUACUCGAAAGAAAACUUAGUGGCGGUUCAGGUCAUAUGCUUCGACAUAAUGUUGUGUGUGUGUGUGAAGAGGAAAAAGAUGGAGGAAUAGACAAUGUUUUAAGAGUUUCUGUUAAAAGCCUAUCUUUUAUUAAGUCAGACUUAUGAGAACCGGAAGGAGCAGUUUGAUAGGUCCUAGAUUAUACCUAGUAGUGUUUAACGCCUUCUACGACUUCCUCUCCUGCGACGCCGGGACAUCUUGGGGCGGCGACGUCGGCGGACAGGGCGGCCGCUGGAAGCUCUGCGUCGUCUGGGCAUUGUGAUUAUUCGAUAUGACUAUGAAUGAUUUCUAGAUGGUUUGGGGUUCUAUUUAUAGGGCUGCCGUGACUAUGUAGCCUAACAGAUGUUGAUGAGUUGCAAUAUAUUUCGCUGACUAAGGAGUUUAAAAACAGACUCUCGUCUGUGACGUCAUAAUAGCCUGGCGUUGCUUGCAUGUUUGAAGUCCAGGACUUGCCAUAGAUGCUCGAUUGGAUUGAGGAAUAUGGAGGCCAAAUCAACACCUUUAACUGGUUGUUGUGUUCCUCAUACCAUUCGUGAACUAUUUUUGAGUGUAUUAUCUUGAGUGUAUUAUCUUGCUGAAAGAGGCCAAUGCCAUCAGGGAAUACUGUUGCCAUGAAAGGGUGCACAUGGUCUGCAACAAUGCUUAGGUAGGUGGUACGUGUCAAAGUAACAUCCACGUGAAUGGCAGGGCCCAAGUUUUCCCAGCAAAACAUUGCCCAAAGCAUCACACUGCCUCAGCCGGUUUGCCUUCUUCCCAUUGUGCAUCCUGGUGCCAUUCCCAUUGUGCAUCCUGGUGUCAUGUGUUCUCCAGGUAAGCAACACACACCCGGCCAUCCAUGUGAGGAAAUGUGAUUCAUCAGACCAGGCCACCUUAUUCCAUUGCUCCGUGGUCCAGUUCUGAUGCUCACAUGCCCAUUGUAGAUGCUUUCGGCAGUGGUAUAGGGGUCUGGAUGGGCACCCUGACUGGUCUGCGGCUACGCAGUCCCAUAUGCAAACAUGCAAUGCACUGUUCUGACACCUUACACUAUCAGUACCAGCAUAAACCUUUUCAGCAAUUUGAGCUACAGUAACUCGUCUGAUGGAUUGGACCACACAGGACAGAAUGUUCACUUGCUGCCUAAUAUAAACCUGGUCAAAAACUACAGGAACCGUAUGACAUAAGUAUUUGAUACAUCAGAAAAGCAGAACUUAAUACAAAGGUUUCUGUACCGAGAUCAUACGUUUCCUGUAGUUCUUGACCAGGUUUGCACACACUGCAGCAGGGAUUGUGGCCCGCUCCUCCAUACAGACCUUGUACAGAUCCUUCAGGUUUUGGGGCUGUCGCUGGCCAAUACAGACUUUCAGCUCCCUCCAAAGAAUUUCUAUUGAGUUCAGGUCUGGAGACUGGCUAGGCCACUCCAGGACCUUUGAUGCUUCUUACAGAGCCACUUCUUAGUUGCCCUGGCUGUGUGUUUCGGGUUUGUCUUAUCAGACCACAUGACCUUCUCCCAUUCCUCCUCUGGAUCAUCCAGAUGGUCAAUGGCAAACUUCAGACGGGCCUGGACAUGCGCUAGCUUGAGCAGGGGGACCAUGCGUGCCCUGCAGGAUUUUAAUCCAUGACGGUGUAGUGUGUUACUAAUGGUUUUCUUUGAGACUGUGAUCCCAGCUCUCUUCAGGUCAUUGACCAGGUCCUGCUGAUCCCUCACCUUCCUCAUGAUCGUUGAUACACCACGAGGUUAGAUCUUGCAUGUAGCCCCAGAACGAGGGAGAUUGACCGUCAUCUUGAACUUCUUCCAUUUUCUAAUAAUUGCGCCAACAGUUCUCACCAAGCUAUUGUCCUGUAGCCCAUCCCAGCCUUGUGCAGGUCUACAAUUUUAUCCCUGAUGUCCUUACACAGCUCUCUGGACUUGGCCAUUGUGGAGAGGUUGGCCAUCAAUCCAGAUCCAUCCUGCUGUUUUGUUUAGCGGCCUGGCCUACUAUAUUCCAUGCUACAUUGAAAUGUGGUUUCGCUCUUGAGAACCGGUAUUUUAAGCCAAAUAUAUGAUCCAACAUUGCACUAACUAAAAUGUGGUUCACCUUUUCAAAUGCAUUUUCACCCCAUUUAAAAGUCUCACGUAUGUGGGUAUUGGAAUUCUAUCAACGACACUUCCCAGUCACCUUUCAAAUCUAUACCUCUGGCAAAUUUGACACAACUCGAUAUUUUCUAUUGAAUAGAUUCUACUAUGUUACAAGUCAGUAAUUGUCACCAACACCCAGUUCAGUUUGGAAAACACUCAGGAAAUACUCAGUCAGAAUCCACAGUUAAGCACACUUUAUUUAUAGAAAAGUUAGGCUGUGUUUCAAACCCAGGUCCUUACACUCCGCAAAUAGGAACUCCCUGCUUGAGGAGGCGAGUAGUGGUGUUACAACAUCAAUAUGUUAUAAAUAAUUUUCUUUCUAACCCUAACCUUAACCCCAGUGCUGUGAUACCUACCUAACCUUAACCCAAACCCUAACCUGAACCCUAGUGCUGUGAUACCUACCUAACCCAAACCUUAACCCUGACCUUGAGCCCAGUGCAGUGAAUUGUGCACAUUCGUAAGGAAUGAUACGUUUUCGUACAGUUUGUAAAAUCUAAUACAUUUGUCUGGCUUUCGUAUUGUAUUAUACGUUUUAAUAGCAUUUGUAACAUAUCAUACAUUGUAAGUGUUACUAAGAUAAGUUCAAUCAAUCAAAUGUAUUUAUAUAGCCCUUUUUACAUCAGCAGUUGUCACAAAGUGUUUUUAUAAAACAUCCACUCUGAAACCCCAAGGAGCAAACAACAACAUUGUUGAAUUGCAGUGGCUAGAAAAACUCCCUAAAAAGGCCAACAUUUAGGAAGAAACCUAGAGAGGAACCAGGCUCAGAGGGGUGACCAGUCCUCUUCUGGCUGUGCUGGGUGUUAAGAGUAUACAUUGUAAUGACAUGCAGGCUGAGUCUAUUUAACCUAGUCCAGUGGCGUUGCCACUGACGGUAGCGGGUUCCCAAGACAUUGAGGUUUUCAACACGUUCGAGUUCGGCAAAGACAAAGGAGUACGACACCAUACUGGGAACAUUCAGUGCGUAUUUCUCCCCACAGAAAAACAGUAUAUGAAAGGUAUGUGUUCCGGUCACGGAUGCAACAGCCUGACGAAACCUUUGAUUGCUUUGUGACUGAUUUGAAGCUUAAAGCGCAGUCAUGCAAUAUUGGAGAUCUGAAAGAUUCUAGGAUCCGCGAUCAAACAGUCUAUGGAAACCAGGAAAAUAGGAUAAGGGAGAAGCUUUUAUGAGACGCUAAACUAACUCUGGAAGAAGCAGAGAGUGUGCCAUGUGAGUGAAUUAGCCCAACAGCACGCAAAGACAUUUAAUGAAGUGACAGUACAUGACAGUGCCAAGGUAGCUGUAGUCAAAAAUAAGAUAAAGCAUACACCACAAAAGAAAAACAGAGGAGGCCGCAGCAUACUCCUGCAAACGUUGUGGUAGCAGACAUAAGCCAAAAGAUGCUCAUUUUGCCAAAAGAUGCUCAUUUUGCAAGACAAUGUUUAUUAUAGGACAACCCCAAGUCAGUGAGGCUAGUUGAAGAUACUGACCUAAGUGAGACUCUGUCGGCAUGGUAUCAUGUGACAAUGUAAAAAAUGUAAUAGAGGAAUAUGCUAGGCACUUAGAAAAUGAAGAUACAUGGAUUUGGUCAUUGACAAUUAAUGGAGCUUUAGUAGCAUGACUGAAAUUACCGCCCCGUUUGGCAUAAUCUCAGCAUCUGAAAUAUAUCAUUGAGCAAUGGACAAUAUGCUAGAGGGCCUAGAAGGGGUCCAUUGCUAUGUAGAAGAUGUGGUAAUCUGGGGUUCCACUCUACCAGAGCACAAUGAAAGACUGACAAAAGAGAACAGACAAAAAUUAAACAGCGCAAGAAAUAACAUUACUUGGAGACAAGUAUUCUUCAAGGGAUAGAGCCAGAUAACGAGGAAAAUAAAAACAAUUUUAGACAAGCCGCACCCCACAGACAAGGUGUACUCAGAAUAAUGGGAAUGAUCAACUUUAUUGGAAAGUUCAUAUCGAAACUAUCAGUGAAAACAUUAGCAUUGAGAGAACUUCUCCAUGACUCCAAGACAUUCAAGUGGACAUCGAGAAAUGAGAGAGAAUGGAAUGCUUUAAAGAUUGCACUGACAAAUGCACCUGUGUUGGCGUAUUAUGAUCCCAACAAGAGACUGAAGAUUUCAACAGAUGCGAAGUACACACUCGGAGCUGUCUUGUUACAGGCAGAAGGAGAUAGCUGGAAGCCAGUUGCUCACGCUUCUUGGACCAUGACUAAGACUGAAACAAGAUACGCUCAAAUUGAGAAGGAAUGUCUUGGGUUAGCUUAUGGACUACAGAUCUUUCAUUGUAAUGUCUAUGGGCUUCCUUCAUUCACAGUUGAGACAGAUCAUCGUCCUCUUGUGUCAAUCAACAAAAGUGUCAAUGAGAUGUCACAGAGGAUUCAGCGGCUCAUCAUGAAGCUUUGAGCUUAUAUACACACCAGGCAAGCACUUAGUGCUGGCAGAUGCGCUAUCACGAGCGCCAGAGAUGAGUACUGCAUGCUCCUCUGAUAAAGAGAUUGAGAAACUAUCUGCUAGAUAGAUUACUAUUCAAACUUUCCUGAAAUUGCUCUCCUCACAAGUGCAACUUCCAAUAGUGUCAUUAAUCAUGUCGAGUCCAUUUUUGCCCGGCAUGGGAUACCGAAGACUAGUGAGUGACAAUGGUCCGUGCUAUAACAGCAAGGAAUGGCAACAGUUUGCAAGACAAUAUGGAUUUCACCAUGUAACUUCAAGUCGACAGCAUGCACAGGCAAAUGACAAAGCUGAAAAGGGAGGCCAUAUCAUCGAACAGCUUCUCCAAAAGGCCACAGACAGCAAGUCAGAUCCUUAUUUAGCUCUGCUAAGCUACAGAACGGCCCCACUCGAAUGUGGUUUAUCCCCAGCAGAACUGUUGAUGAAUCACAAGUUACACACAAUCCUACCUUGCUAUACAGACAUCAAAGAGUGCAGAGACACAGACAAAACUGGAGAAUAUGAAAUGGAAACAAAAACAGCAUUAUGACAAGUCAACCAAAACCCUCAGACCACUUGCCAAAGAUGAUGUGGUGCGUAUCCGAGAUCAGGAUGUGUGGAACCGGAAAGCUACUGGAAAGCUCCAGGAGAUCGGACCGAGAUCAUAUGAAGUAAGGACUGAGGAGGGUCACAUGCUCAGAAGGAACCAUCGCAACCUUCUCAGAACCAAAGAGACUUUCAGAGAAACAGAAUGUGAAGAUGAAGAUGGAAAUACCUUUGUGUCACAUGCAGUGAUCUUUGAAGUUAAUUUCUUAAAAAAUUUAUUAGAAAAAUUGAAUCAGGUUGUUCACAGCUUCACAGAAAGGGGGAUGUGUUGAAAUGCAAUUAAUCAACUGUAACACCUAGUGUGACCAGCAGAGGGUACUAGUUAUAGGACCGUGGGGUAUGUUGGUGGGGACAGACGAGGAAGGAUGGCGAAGAAAGCGAGGGAAUAGUGUGAUCAUGUUCGAUCGUACAUUAAAGUUUGAGCACAAGCUCAUUGUGGAUUAAAAACUAAGUCUCAUCUUUAAGAUUCAAACAACACAGGUUGUAGAAAUGCAAAUGAUUGGUCAAGAGUAGAAGACCUACCCCUCUCCUGCCACUCCCGACGUCUUGGUCCAUAGGUCGCGUUCCGGGCGGAUGGUGGUGGAAGUUCGGCGUCGUCUGUGCAUCAGUGAGUUCUACAUGGUGCGGGGGUGUAUUUAUAGGUGCACCGUGAUUAGGCUGUGUGAUAGAAGUUGAUGAGUUUGUGUUUUAACGACUCUCCUCUGUGACGUCAUAAUAGUCUGGUCUUGCCUGGAGGUUUGCCGUAGUCAUCAACCGGCUGAAAUUGCUUACCAUUGCAUAUUUGAUGCACGAUCAACAUGAUGGCUUAUAGGUUUAUCAUUUAAUGCAGCUGCCUAGGUUUGACUUUAUAAGCAUUUCGAGCUAUUCAAUUAACUUCAACAUUGAGUGGUGGUGAUUAUGAUAUUUGGCGCAGAAAACGAAUGAACACUUGUCGUGAGCGAUUGAAACAAACUUAAAAGAGUAUCUACCAUUGGUUAAACUAUUCAUAAAACAAAAUAUUAUCUAAGUUAACUUAUUAACCUAUUGGAUUACUGUAUGGUGGACAUGCCCUAUCUGUAAAAUACCACCACAGCGUGCCUUUUUGGAAAACCGCUGUUGUGAAAUCUCGAAAUUAAUUAAUGUCAAAAGCAUAGCUGGUCAUGUGACCAAGGAGAUGCGAUGUCAUAAUGGUUCCGCAGGAUAAAAAUGUAGGGACCGAAAGUUUCGUUAAAGCUUUCUGAUUUAACGUUCAGAAACCUGCAUCCUGACCUGCCUGCCCCUUGGAUUCUCCUACCGCCUAGCCCUGCCUGUACUGUCGCUUUUGUGGACUGAUCACCCGGUAUUCCGACCUGCCUGCCUGUCCCUGGAUUCUCCUACCGUCUGCCCCUGCCUGUACUGUUGCCUUCGCGGACUGAUCACCCGGUAUCGUGACCUGCCUGCCUGCUUCUGGUUUUUCCUCUCUGCCGAGCCCUGCCUGUACCUUUGCCUACGUGGACUGAUCUCCUGAUUUCUGAACCUUACUGCCUGUCUCUACUGUUUUUGCUCCUGCCGGCUCCCCUGUACAUCAAAAUCGACAGUAGCGUUUCUGCAAUUGGAACCACACAGCCCCGUCCUCGGUGUUCAUUACAUACAUACAGUGAGGGAAAUAAUUAUUUCAUCCCCUGCUGAUUUUGUACGUUUGUCCAAUGACAAAGAAAUGGACUGAUCAUUACUUUGACAUUUGGCAAACGUACAAAAUCAGCAGUGGACCAAAUUAUUUUUCCCCCUCACUGUACAAUGUAAUGGAAUCUCAAUGUUCUGCAUUAUAUUAUUUCAACACAGACACUGAUAUUUUAAAUCAUUUUAAAUCAUUUGAAUAUAGAUUUUUCCUCUCCUCAUCACACUUUUUACAUUCUAACCUGUUUUCUUCUUUCUCAUCUCUCUUUCUAAUCCUCUCUUCUUUAAUCUCCUCUCUCCUCUUCCUUCAUCACUCUCUUCUCCCUCCUCUACUGUGCUGCUCCUCUGUCUCUGUCUUGGCUGCAAUUCUCCUGGUCUUCUGAUUCACACUGAUCAGAACACAGACCAUCCCCAGCAGAGCACAGCCCAUCAGUGAAGAGUAAACUCUGUAGAACAUGGAGUUGAUGCCAAAGGGGUCCCACUCCACCAAGACUGUCUUAGUUACUGAGACACACACCCCUUCAUAGAAGACAGCAAACCAGUACUCCCCCCUGUCAGACAGUGAGAGGUUGGAGAGAACCAGAAAGGAGGGAUGCAUUUAUUCUGCCCUACAGGUAUUCAGGGUAGUUUGCUAUUGUAACUGGUCCUGUGUCCAGAAUGACAUCGUUCACCUGAGCAGGUCUGUACCACACCACCCUGUCAGACUCAGUGAGAUUAGAGGUACAGCUGAGAACAACCUCCUCUCCCUCUGAGAAGAACUCUGUGAGCGGCUCAGACUUGGGACACACCAGGAGAUCAUAGCCUUUUAUGAGCUCAACUUCCAUUGGUGGUAAAUUGAUAUUGCAAUCAUACCAUCCUGAGUGGUUAAGCAUCAGUGAUGGGAUGACCUGGAAGUAGUCUCCUGAUGUUCCUCCAUCUGACACGUACAUCUGAUUCCGUCUUCUAAUGAGAUGUUUGGUGUUCCAUGAGAUCAUCCUAGGGUAUGUGUCAGUCCACCCGGUGUUCCAUUUUGUUUCUGUCCCAUUGCGGUCAUCAGGGUUAAAAAAGGGCAGCACAGCCUCAUCUCCCACUUACAGACCAACAUACUGUACCUGAGGGGACAGAGUAUAGAUGUGUCUGGAAACACAAUCCUGUCCCUCCAAUAUCACAGGUGUACAGUAAAUAUGUUUUGUCCUACUUAAUGAUGUUGUUUAAGGUGAGAGACGAGCUGUUCUUAGACACCACAUAUUUGCUCUUUUGCCAGUCAUAACAGAACCAUCUGACUGUCGUGUUGUUACCAUCUCUUUUACCCCCACACUGUAGCUCUACUGUGUCUCCAGGAUGUAUAUGAAGUUCCAUCCUUUCUUCUACACCACCACAGACUAGUAGGUCAGUACUGUCCUGGUACAUCACCCUGGUGCCUCUCCAACACUCCUUCCUGUACUGUCCAGAGUCUGACUGAGUGAGACAGUUGAUCCUGAGAUAUAAACUAUUCUGACCCUGUAUCAGUUCCAGUCAAUCCUUAAUCUCUCCAAUCAGGGUGGAAUUAUCAAGUGGGUUAGAAAUGUUCCACAGCAGAAGAUUCCCUUCAUCUGAGGAUCUGGAGAUCAAACAGUAGUCUGCAUUAUUAGGAAUGUAUAAGCGAAAGACGUCCCCUUCUGUAAUGAUGUCCUGGUCUGUAUGGACGGGUUUGAUCCGAAGAACCAGUAAAACACUGAGCUUAAUGAUCCAAGCCAUUCUGUCUGUCUGGUAGGGAAUACUGUUGUCUGCUGAUGUUUAAGUCUUAACACAUUCAACCCAGUGGAUGUUAUAUGAGUGAUUCUGUUAUCUUUUCACACAGAGGAUGCAGAUGAACAUAUCUAUUCAUCUUAGCUGAGAAGUGACAGAGCUAGUAGUGUGUUAAAAUCACUUUAUGACACAAUGCUAAUUACACUUUCGAGGGAAUUUGUUUCAUUUUGUGGUCUGAAGCUUCUGCAUCUUUACAUAUUGUGAUGUCACUAGGGGCCUGGUGAUAGAGGGGUGUUACAUACACUCCAGCAUGCUGAGGGACUACAACAAAAUGGUUCCAGUAAAAUAACUACAACCCCAAGAUGCAGCCAGACAAGAGGGAAUGGCUGAACGGGCAUACCAGGUGUAAACAGGUUAAUCAGAGCAUGUUAGGUGUGUUUUUUUAUUAGGAAGGUGGCACCAUGUUGCAUUUUGUUUAGCUCUUUAGUUGUUUUGUUAAAGAAAGAAAGCAAUGAUUUGUAUUUUGUUCUGAGUCACCUUUGUUUACUUGUUGGAAGAAAUAAAUGGACA
ensembl:lncRNA